CCUACGGGUGGCAGCAGUGGGGAAUAUUGGACAAUGGGCGAAAGCCUGAUCCAGCCAUGCCGCGUGUGUGAAGAAGGCCUUCGGGUUGUAAAGCACUUUCAGUGGGGAAGAAAGCCUUGGGGCUAAUACCCUCGAGGAAGGACAUCACCCACAGAAGAAGCACCGGCUAACUCCGUGCCAGCAGCCGCGGUAAUACGGAGGGUGCGAGCGUUAAUCGGAAUUACUGGGCGUAAAGCGCGCGUAGGCGGUCUGAUAAGCCGGUUGUGAAAGCCCCGGGCUCAACCUGGGAACGACAUCCGGAACUGUCAGGCUAGAGUGCAGGAGAGGAAGGUAGAAUUCCCGGUGUAGCGGUGAAAUGCGUAGAGAUCGGGAGGAAUACCAGUGGCGAAGGCGGCCUUCUGGACUGACACUGACGCUGAGGUGCGAAAGCGUGGGUAGCAAACAGGAUUAGAUACCCUAGUAGUC
rnacentral:rRNA from 1 species